rnacentral:rRNA from 1 species
UACGUAGGGUGCAAGCGUUGUCCGGAAUUAUUGGGCGUAAAGAGCUCGUAGGCGGUUUGUCGCGUCUGCUGUGAAAUCCCGAGGCUCAACCUCGGGCCUGCAGUGGGUACGGGCAGACUAGAGUGUGGUAGGGGAGACUGGAAUUCCUGGUGUAGCGGUGAAAUGCGCAGAUAUCAGGAGGAACACCGAUGGCGAAGGCAGGUCUCUGGGCCAUAACUGACGCUGAGAAGCGAAAGCAUGGGGAGCGAACAGG